CGGGACGGGUGAGUAAUGUCUGGGGAAACUGCCUGAUGAGGGGGAGUAACUACUGGAAACGGUAGCUAAUACCGCAUAACGUCGCAAGACCAAAGAGGGGGAACCUUCGGGCCUCUUGCCAUCGGAUGUGCCCAGAUGGGAUUAGCUAGUAGGUGGGGUAACGGCUCACCUAGGCGACGAUCCCUAGCUGGUCUGAGAGGAUGACCAGCCACACUGGAACUGAGACACGGUCCAG
rnacentral:rRNA from 1 species